rnacentral:lncRNA from 1 species
GCCCAUCAACUGGACAGGGGUCGGAUUGGUCACUUCUUUGCAAGGCUAUGCUAUAGCAGUGUCUGGCCUGGGCUUGGUCUCCCCUGACUUCUCUGACCCCCUGGUUGGUAGGGAAUUUCAACUUCAAAUGGUAGGUUGACACGACGGCUCGGAGAGCGUUGAGGCCAGGUCGGCCGAGGAUUGCGUUGUAGGCUGACGGUGCCUUCACUACCAAAAAAUUCACCAGAGCCCUGGAUUGUCUUGGAUAUCGACCCGCAGCUAC